GUGGGGAAUCUUGCACAAUGGGCGAAAGCCUGAUGCAGCCAUGCCGCGUGAAUGAUGAAGGCCUUAGGGUUGUAAAAUUCUUUCGUCAGGGAUGAUAGUGACCGUACCUGAAGAAGAAGCCCCGGCUAACUUCGUGCCAGCAGCCGCGGUAAUACGAAGGGGGCUAGCGUUGUUCGGAAUUACUGGGCGUAAAGCGCACGUAGGCGGACUUUUAAGUCAGGUGUGAAAUCCCGGGGCUCAACCUCGGAACUGUAUUUGAAACUGGAAGUCUUGAGAUCAGGAGAGGUUAGCGGAAUACCGAGUGUAGAGGUGAAAUUCGUAGAUAAUCGGUGGAACACCAGUGGCGAAGGCGGCUAACUGGACUGAUACUGACGCUGAGGUGCGAAAGUGUGGGGAGCAAACAGGAUUAGAUACCCUUGUAGUCC
rnacentral:rRNA from 1 species